AGAAUCUCCCCGCAACCUUAACGAGUUUUACUCCGAAAGAAGUGGUCCAGUGCCAUCCUGUGCUGUUCAGUGAUACAGCAUAUGUUUUUAUAGUUAAAGACUUCGGUGUAGCUAAAGAAAGAGUGAUAGCCCGUGAUUGCUUUUGUCAGCCCUUGUACCUCUUUCUGACAGCUAGACUUCCUUUGGGACAACCUCCAAAGAAAAAUGCAUUUCAGUACUGUUUGUGAUGUGUUAUGUCUUAAGCUAGAUGUACUGACUUUUAUUAAUUAGAGCUAUAUUUUCGUGUUGUAAAUAACUUUUGUGGCUUUUAGGCUGUAAAUUAAGAAAGAAAAGACCUUUGAUUAUAUUGAAAGUUUUACAAACAUCAAAGGCUAUUUUCCUUAUAGAUUUUCUAUUUCUGGUACUGCAAAUUUCUUUAGGCCAGUCUUAAAUUUACCUUAAUAAUUCGAGUAAUUUACUAUAACAUUUAAAACAACUAUAAUAACAAAAUAUUACUAGCUUUUUACUGUGGUAGAAUAGUGAUACAAUUUUGUAUAUUUGGUUAAACUUAGACAAACUUAAAAUCCAUUUCAAAGAUUGUUAUGUUGAGUGUACCAGGUCAGUGAGAGACUAAUGAUAUUCUCCACAGACGUGAAAAAACACUCCUAUCUAUAUGAAGAAUAUUAUUUAUUAUUUUAUGCUUUUAUCCCACUACUGUCUUUCCCUGGUGCUUUUGAGUACCAUCAAGUAAGCUAACGUUUCUUCAUUACUUUAGAUUAUGAUAGUCUUACCCAAACUGUUGUUCAGGGGGAUGAUCUAGAAACCUGCCUGGUCCACUGACUCUUUCAGUUGAGGGAGACACCUGGUAUUGUUACCAUUUUCUUGUCAUAUCUGUAUGUUUAGCAGUUUGGGGGAUACAUACAAAAUACACUUUUUUCCAAGUAUUCAGGUUUUAACUUUUCGAAGGAGGAAAUCAGUUUUAGUCUUAAGGUUUGAGGUUGGAAAUAGAGUGUAUCUGGAAAAUAGUUACUAGUGUCCUCUGGUUGGUCUUUUCUUCCUUUCUUUCUCUCUUUCAAGUUGUGCUUGCCUAUAUCAUUCUGUGUCUGUCCCAAACAAAGGCCUUGCUUUGCAUUUAUUAAAUAGCACAGAAAAUGUUUGGGAAAGAACUAAACCAUGUUAUCAAACUAUAUCCAUAUUUAGCAUUCAAUAUUUAUAGUAAAUAUGUUUUAUUUGGGGUUGCUUUCAACCUGUUGGUUGCUUUCAGCAAUGAUGAUCAGAAUAUUCACAAAUUAUUCUGGGUCAGGACCAUGGACAAAUACAUAAUAUGAUUAAAAUUAUGCAUUCAGCUUAUGUUGGAAUAGCUAAUUCCAACAUACGUGGGAAAUCCACAGCAUUAUAAGGUUGGCUACAUUUUUUUGGUAUUUUUGUUGUUUUUAAAGAUUCAUUUAUUGUUAUAUGUGAGUACACUGUAGCUGUCUUCAGACACACUAGAAGAAGUCAUCGGAUCUCGUUGAGGAUGGUUGUGAGCCACCAUGUUGCUGGGAUUUGAACUCAGGACCUUUGGAAGAGCAGUCAGUGCUCUUACCCGCUGAGCCAUCUCACCAGCCCGGUUGACUACAUUGUUAUCAUAAAGGAGGAUUAAACUUAAACAGGCUGAGCACACAGAAGGAUAGUGGCUAAGUACAUAGUAUUAAAUGUUCUUGAGCAUGUUAGUAGCUUGGCUGAAAGAACUAGCAAAAGUUCAGUCUCUUCAAAGAUGGAAUAUUGUCGUAAAACUCCACAGUUUUCAUCUUAGUCUCUUGAUUUGCAGUAGUUUAUAUUAGCAUCGAUGAGGAUACAUGCUUAAUAAGAAACACGCAACCCAACUAAGUAUGUACAGCCUGGCUGUAAACAUUAGGUUAAGGCGAGAGCCAAGUGUUUUUGGAAAGUAUUGAGGAACUGGGAGACUUUCUGUAAGUUUAUAUCUGUCAGUUGCAAACAUACCAAGACUUUAGAAGAGCAUCCAGAUUAAGGAGGAUUCUGUAGUGAUCAUCUUAGCCAUCUCUCCACACAACCAACCUCCAGUGUUUGUAGAGACUAUGCUAAUGUUCUCUCAAGCCGGGAGUUCUCAUUUUACUAAUUGAGUACAUUCUCUUCUUGCCAUAACUCCUCUUGAAAGGAUUAGUAAUUUGUAUGCUUAAAUGAGACACAGUUUCAACUAAGGUGGUACAUAAAUAAACCUAGAGCCAAAUGUUAUCUCAGUGAAGUACAGAGACAUGUGGAGUUUAAUGCCUUUUGUAUCAUUUCUACAUUUGUCUUGAUGGUAAUUUUGCUUUGUGCAGAGAAUUCUUGUAAUCAAAAUUAAUAAAAAUUAGUUUGUUUGCUUUGAUACCAUAAGGGUAAAUUGGUUCAACUUCAAUAAAAGGAAUCUAUUUA